AUGUCUUUUAAUGAUGAAGAUUGGAAGGGUUUAACAUCAAAUCUUGAGCCUGGUGACAAUAUGGAGAUAUUUGUAGCUUUUGAGCGUGGAGUGGUUGUUAGGGUAACAGCUGCAUAUCUAAUAUAUGGUCAUUCAGUUACUACCGAAACUGAGACAUCAAUUAUCGUAAAAAAGGAGCCAUCACGAGAAGAAAACUCGCAACCAUCUCCCAAUGUAAAAAUGGAGCUGUCACCAAAUAUGAAAAUGGAACCAUCUCGGAAGCCAAAUAAAGAUACCUUUACAAGACUUGCAAAGAAAACGAGACAAUGUUUGUGCUUGAAGUGA